rnacentral:rRNA from 1 species
AUGGCUACAUCACGUCGAAACACUGGUUCCUGUACGAUCACCAAAGUUAAGCAAUGUUGAGUCUGUUCAGUACCUAGAUGAGUGACCACUUGGGAAUACCAAGUGCU